rnacentral:rRNA from 1 species
GUGAACGCUGGCGGUAGGCCUAACACAUGCAAGUCGAACGGCAGCACCGUAAGAGCUUGCUCUUACGGGUGGCGAGUGGCGGACGGGUGAGGAAUACAUCGGAAUCUACUUUUUCGUGGGGGAUAACGUAGGGAAACUUACGCUAAUACCGCAUACGACCUACGGGUGAAAGCAGGGGAUCUUCGGACCUUGCGCGAUUGAAUGAGCCGAUGUCGGAUUAGCUAGUUGGCGGGGUAAAGGCCCACCAAGGCGACGAUCCGUAGCUGGUCUGAGAGGAUGAUCCGCCACACUGGAACUGAGACACGGUCCAGACUCCUACGGGAGGCAGCAGUGGGGAAUAUUGGACAAUGGGCGCAAGCCUGAUCCAGCCAUACCGCGUGGGUGAAGAAGGCCUUCGGGUUGUAAAGCCCUUUUGUUGGGAAAGAAAAGCAGCAGGUUAAUACCCCGCUGUUCUGACGGUACCCAAAGAAUAAGCACCGGCUAACUUCGUG